rnacentral:rRNA from 1 species
UACGGGGGGGGGCAAGCGUUGUUCGGAAUUACUGGGCGUAAAGGGCUCGUAGGUGGCCAACUAAGUCGGACGUGAAAUCCCCAGGCUCAACCUGGGAACUGCGUCCGAUACUGGCAGGCUUGAAUCCGGGAGAGGGAUGUGGAAUUCCAGGUGUAGCGGUGAAAUGCGUAGAUAUCUGGAGGAACACCGGUGGCGAAGGCGGCAUCCUGGACCGGUAUUGACGCUGAGGCGCGAAAGCUAGGGGAGCAAACGGG